rnacentral:rRNA from 1 species
UACGAAGGGGGCUAGCGUUGCUCGGAAUCACUGGGCGUAAAGCGCACGUAGGCGGCUUUCUAAGUCAGGGGGUGAAAUCCUGGAGCUCAGCUCCAGAACUGCCUUUGAUACUGGGGAGCUCGAGUCCGGAAGAGGUGAGUGGAACUCCGAGUGUAGAGGUGAAAUUCGUAGAUAUUCGGAAGAACACCAGUGGCGAAGGCGGCUCACUGGUCCGGUACUGACGCUGAGGUGCGAAAGCGUGGGGAGCAAACAGG